AACUUUCAACAAUGGAUCUCUAGGUUCUCGCAUCGAUGAAGAACGUAGCAAAUUGCGAUAACUAGUGUGAAUUGCAUUUUCAGUGAAUCAUCGAGUCUUUGAACGCAUCUUGCACUCUAGGGUAUUCCCUAGAGUACGCCUGUUUCAGUGACAG
rnacentral:rRNA from 2 species